UGAAGUUGAGUUUCAGCAACUAAACUCUAAACUCACAGUCACGUCAUCAAGUACUGAUGCCUAUGAGAUUUAAUCCGCAACUACAAGCCAGACGUUCUUAGCUGCAAAAAAUGAAAAAUAAAAAAAUUAUUCGUCCAAGCUUAGGGGUCCCAGGGGUGGGCAAAGGACCACUAUUGACCCUCUAAUUGCCAGGUGACCCUAUUCCUUAGACACUAAGAAGAUUGGAGACUUAAUUUCUUCCUAAGGAAUUAAUAUUUCAAAUAAUUAAUAUUUGAAAAAUACUGCUUUUCACACUAACCAAAUAUAAAAUUCAGUACAAAUAUGUAUUUGAAUAAACAAAACAGGUAACUUUGUGUAUCUCAGAUAGGUGGGUGGAUAAUUCAAAUCAUACAAUGGAGAGACUUGAGCAAAGGGGAAGUGAACUGCCCGUUGCAGGCAGAUGUGGCCGGCAGAGAGAGGUUAAGGAGCCAGCAACGAAGGACAGCUGGGGAUCGUUAGCAACAAUCAAGGCGCGGCAUUAAGAGGCAGCAGGGGUGAGUGUCUUGGUUCUUACAUUGGCCUGCCUAAGGAAGCCAUCUGGACGGAGGAAAUUUGCCUUAAACCUUGGCAAGAGAACUUUGUUCUGUUUGAACUUUCUUUAAAGCCCCAGAGUGGGUGAGCAUUUUGUUUAAACUUUCCUUAAAACAAAGAAUAGGAGAUCCCCUGCAAUUAACAACAGGAACCUUCUUCCCCUUUUAACAGAUUUGAUAGGAAAAGCCACAAGGACUGUUCUGAUAUCCAUUAGCAUGGUUCAGUUAGCAGGCUGGAAAGAAAGAUACAAAGGAGUGGAAGUUUGCAGGCUUGGGAGCACCUAGGUCAUGUAAGAAAGGUCUCAUCACAGUGCGCUCCAUCCUUAAGUCGGACCUUCUCUCGUGUGGGGCCUAUCCCCGUUGAUUGCGGAGGGGGAUUCAUUUUCAGCACAAUUUCCUGUGUUCACUAUUCGUCUUGGCAUAUGUAUGCACGCAGCACUCACAGAUAAUGGGAUUUGUCACUCUGUCUUAAAGUGAUUCAGUAGGGAAGUGCAUCCU
rnacentral:lncRNA from 1 species